UUAAUCGCGCUGGCUAAGAAUAACCUGUAUAUAUACAAUAAAUUAACAUAUUUUCCGUGUAAGACGUGGUGGCGCAGAGGAACAAGACUCAGCGUGUAUGCUGAAGGUCGUGAGUUCGGUCCCGGAAUGUGCGCAAACGAAUUUUUCUUUUUGGAAUUUUUCUUUUUGCCGAAAUUGUUUUUUUUUCUCGUUUAUUUACCUGUCGUAUAGCUAGCUAUAUGCAUUGGGAAGAUGAAUUUAGAUGCAUUUCGAUGAUAUUCGGAAAAUUUAAUGUAAUUUUGGUGGUUUUCUGCUUAUGAAACAUUCUAGAACCAGUCUCCGAAAUGCGCACAUUUUUUGAACGAAUAGUAUACUAUAGUACAGCCCGGCUGGCA